rnacentral:rRNA from 1 species
CGACCGGAUGCGGAUCUCGAAAGCCUGUCCCAGUUCGGACUGGAGUCUGCAACCCGACUCCACGAAGUUGGAUUCGCUAGUAAUCGCGCAUCAGCCAUGGCGCGGUGAAUACGUUCCCGGGCCUUGUACACACCGCCCGUCAAGCCAUGGGAGCCGGGGGGCGCCUGAAGUCCGGGACCGCGAGGACCGGCCUAGGGCGAAACUGGUAACUAGGGGCUAAGUCGUAACAAGGUAUC